CUACGGGCGGCAGCAGUGGGGAAUAUUGCACAAUGGGGGAAACCCUGAUGCAGCGACGCCGCGUGAAGGAUGAAGGAUUUCGGUUCGUAAACUUCUAUCAGCAGGGAAGAUAGUGACUGUACCUGACUAAGAAGCCCCGGCUAACUACGUGCCAGCAGCCGCGGUAAUACGUAGGGGGCAAGCGUUAUCCGGAAUUACUGGGUGUAAAGGGUGCGUAGGCGGUUAAAUAAGUCAGAUGUGAAAGCCCGGGGCUCAACUCCGGGACUGCAUUUGAAACUGUUUAACUAGAAUACAGGGGAGGUAAGUGGAAUUCCUAGUGUAGCGGUGAAAUGCGUAGAUAUUAGGAGGAACACCAGUGGCGAAGGCGACUUACUGGACUGUUAUUGACGCUGAGGCACGAAAGCGUGGGGAGCGAACAGGAUUAGAUACCCUAGUAGUC
rnacentral:rRNA from 1 species